rnacentral:rRNA from 1 species
GCAUGCCGCGUGCAGGAUGAAGGCCUUCGGGUUGUAAACUGCUUUUGUACGGAACGAAACGGUGAGCUCUAAUACAGCUUGCUAAUGACGGUACCGUAAGAAUAAGCACCGGCUAACUACGUGCCAGCAGCCGCGGUAAUACGUAGGGUGCGAGCGUUAAUCGGAAUUACUGGGCGUAAAGCGUGCGCAGGCGGUGAUGUAAGACAGAUGUGAAAUCCCCGGGCUCAACCUGGGACCUGCAUUUGUGACUGCAUCGCUAGAGUACGGUAGAGGGGGAUGGAAUUCCGCGUGUAGCAGUGAAAUGCGUAGAUAUGCGGAGGAACACCGAUGGCGAAGGCAAUCCCCUGGACCUGUACUGACGCUCAUGCACGAAAGCGUGGGGAGCAAACAGGAUUAGAUACCCUGGUAGUCCACGCCCUAAACGAUGUCAACUGGUUGUUGGGUCUUCACUGACUCAGUAACGAAGCUA